rnacentral:misc_RNA from 1 species
GAUGAAGAACGUAGCGAAAUGCGAUAAGUAAUGUGAAUUGCAGAAUUCAGUGAAUCAUCGAGUCUUUGAACGCACAUUGCGCCCUCUGGUAUUCCGGAGGGCAUGCCUGUCCGAGCGUCAUUGCUGCCCUCAAGCACGGCUUGUGUGUUGGGCCCCGCCCCCCGAUCCCGGGGGGCGGGCCCGAAAGGCAGCGGCGGCACCGCGUCCGGUCCUCGAGCGUAUGGGGCUUUGUCACCCGCUCUGUAGGCCCGGCCGGCGCCUGCCGAUCAACCAAACUUUUUUCCAGGUUGACCUCGGAUCAGGUAGGGAUACCCGCUGAACUUAAGCAUAUCAAUAAGCGGAGGA